GAAACUUGAUUUAAGUUCAACAGCGUCCACUACUUCCUAAUGACCCUCACUGAGCAAAAAAUCUAAUGGGGCAAGAUUUUCCUCUAUAAAAGUUACCCCAACACCUAAAUUUGUAGCAUGACGUAUCUGAGGUGGGCUGCCAACCAACAGCCUCUCAAACCUAUUUUUCUGAUGAUCAUAUGAAUAAAUUGGCACGCAAGCUGACUUCGACUUCUUCUGAUCUAGUAACUUAAGGUUGGAAAACAAUAUUUGGCCGGUGGGAAGAUUGCCAACAAAUACGGCAGUUCUCUCUUCUGAAUCUGAUCCAAGUGGCCAGGGGAUAUAUUGCUUGAUCCAACAUUUGGCGUCAUUACCAUCAUGAUCUAGCAAGUGAACCCCAAAACAGACAUAAUCAGAAUUCAACAGGCCUAGGUGUCCCUUGAACUGCACAAAUUGCCAUUCCUUUGGAUGGACUAAAAAUUUGUAAUCCGGCGGGGGUUGAAUCAGAUCAAACCUGUCUUUCUUGAAGUCAAAAGAAACUAGUCUUGGCUGAUUAUCAAGGCAAUUAACAAUCCAAUACAUUACUCCUUUAACUAAAAGGUACCAAGCAGAGGAAAGGCCUGACCCUUCAGAAGACACGACCUCGUCCAGCUCUGGGGAGUCGACGUCUAGUGCUGCAGAGGAGUCGGCCGAGGAGGGAACUGUCGAGACCACCCCAGGGUUGGAAUGGGUGGUUCCGAGAUCUUAUAUAAUGACGAUCUCGGAACUGAAAUACCCCACAAUGAGGGCGUGCUGGAGCCGGUCGCACCAAAGGAUGUCGCUGAAAUAAACUUCGGCAAGAUGCUAACAGGUGUCGAGCCUGUGCAAUAAAAAAUACCUGCUCGAGAAAAAUAAAUUUUCUGUGUAUAGUAGUGAGCAGGGUCGAAUCCACAGGAACUGGAAAAAAUUCGAUUCUUUUUAAAUUCGAGACACGGGGGAUUUUUUUUAUCAGAUAAAACUAAAAAUAAAUAAUUUAACAAUUUAACUAAAAAUAAUUAAUUAAUUAAUUAAUACAAAUGUAAAUAGCAAUCUAAUAAAUAAUAAAUAAAUUCUAGCCAAGGAUACAACUACGCAAACACAGUCCAUUCAUCCGAUCAUUGAUGCAAAGAAGGUUCACUUAAUUUUAUUAACAGGUUAGUUAUAGUCGCCGAUAAACUCUAACGACCAGCUUUUCCUUAAUUUAUUGAUAACCAAGGUACGGCCGUUGAUUAUCCCUAACCAGGAAAUACUCCUAGGUACGACCAUAGGAAUUAAUUUCCUAAUUGCAUUAAAAACUAUAAAAACCUAACCCAAAUUAAUAACACGCUACGAGGGUUAUUUAAAUCAGAUUGCAUGUUCCCCUAGUAUGUGAAAAUGCUAGUUGUCACUAAUAUUAACCAACUAAACAAUUACGGAUUUAAUUGAUUAAUUUGACAAGAGAUUAAUAAGUCAAAUUGCACAUCGGGCCCUUGAUAUCCAAUUAACAAAAUAAUCCCAUGGAAAUUCAAAUAGAAACAUAUUAACAAAUUAAGGAACACGUAAAAUUAAUUAGAUCUCAC
rnacentral:lncRNA from 1 species